GAUGAACGCUGGCGGCGUGCCUAAUACAUGCAAGUCGAGCGAACAGAUGAGGAGCUUGCUCCUCUGACGUUAGCGGCGGACGGGUGAGUAACACGUGGAUAACCUACCUAUAAGACUGGGAUAACUUCGGGAGACCGGAGCUAAUACCGGAUAAUAUAUUGAACCGCAUGGUUCAAUAGUGAAAGACGGUUUUGCUGUCACUUAUAGAUGUAUCCGCGCCGCAUUAGCUAGUUGGUAAGGUAACGGCUUACCAAGGCGACGAUGCGUAGCCGACCUGAGAGGGUGAUCGGCCACACUGGAACUGAGACACGGUCCAGACUCCUACGGGAGGCAGCAGUAGGGAAUCUUCCGCAAAGGGCGAAAGCCUGACGGAGCAACGCCGCGUGAGUGAUGAAGGUCUUCGGAUCGUAAAACUCUGUUAUUAGGGAAGAACAAAUGUGUAAGUAACUAUGCACGUCUUGACGGUACCUAAUCAGAAAGCCACGGCUAACUACGUG
rnacentral:rRNA from 1 species